rnacentral:rRNA from 1 species
GGGGGNGGGCUUACCAUGCAGUCGAACGAUGAACUGGUGCUUGCACUGGGGAUUAGUGGCGAACGGGUGACUAACACGUGAGUAACCUGCCCUUGACUCUGGGAUAAGCCUGGGAAACUGGGUCUAAUACCGGAUAUGACCUUCCAUCGCAUGGUGGUUGGUGGAAAGCUUUUGUGGUUUUGGAUGGACUCCCGGCCUAUCAGCUUGUUGGUGGGGUAAUGGCCUACCAAAGCGACGACGGGUAGCCGGCCUGAGAGGGUGACCGGCCACACUGGGACUGAGACACGGCCCAGACUCCUACGGGAGGCAGCAGUGGGGAAUAUUGCACAAUGGGCGGAAGCCUGAUGCAGCGACGCCGCGUGAGGGAUGACGGCCUUCGGGUUGUAAACCUCUUUCAGUAGGGAAGAAGCCGUAAGGUGACGGUACCUGCAGAAGAAGCGCCGGCUAACUACGUGCCAACAGCCGCGGUAAUACGUACGGCGCAAGCGUUAUCCGGAAUUAUUGGGCGUAAAGAGCUCGUAGGCGGUUUGUCGCGUCUGCCGUGAAAGUCCGGGGCUCAACUCCGGAUCUGCGGUGGGUACGGGGAGACUAGAGUGAUGUAGGGGAGACUGAAAUUCCUGGUGUAGCGGUGAAAUGCGCAGAUAUCAUGAUGAACAUCGAUGGCGAAGGCAGGUCUCUGGGCAUUAACUGACGCUGAGGAGCGAAAGCAUGGGGAGCGAACAGGAUUAGAUACCCUGGUAGUCCAUGCCGUAAACGUUGGGCACUACGUGUGGGGGACAUUCCACGUUUUCCGCGCCGUAGCUACGCAUUAAGUGCCCCGCCUGGGGAGUACGGCCGCAAGGCUAAAACUCAAAGGAAUUGACGGAGGCCCGCACAAGCUGGCGGAGCAUGCGGAUUAAUUCGAUGCAACGCGAAGUAGCUUACUACGGCUCGACAUGAACCGG